UCUCUCUCCCUUUCCCUUUUUUUUUUUUUUUUUUUUGCAAAUCUGUGCUUCUCCACCGCGAGCUUCGAGAGAUUGGGCGAUUUCGGGGCGAUUUUCGGAUAUUUUCGGAUCUACGCAGAAAUUAGUCUUCUUAGAACGAUUAACCCAAAAAUUUUGGGCGAUUUGCUGCUAAAUCGACCUCAAUCAAGUUCUCUAAGAAAGGGUUUCACCGAUUUCAGCUGAUUCUAUAGCAUAUAAAUUUUUGACGCUCUAUUAUAAUGGAUAAGAGUUGGAUCAAAAAAAAUAGAUGGACAUAUGAAUUCUUUGAAGGAGUAAAUAAUUUUCUCGAUUUUGCUUCUAAAAGUGCAUGCGAAAAUGGAGUGGUUUCAUGACCAUGUUUGAAAUGUACGAAUUCCUAUAGUUGGAACAAAGUAGUUGUGCGUGAUCACUUGUUGUGUAAUGGAAUCAGUCCAAACUAUCUUGUUGUUGGUUGAUUGGGUUAAUUUAGUCUGCGGUAAGUAUUGUAAAUAAAUAAUGGUUUUUAUACAUGAAUGUAUGUAACCAUUCUGCAAAUUUGCUCUUAUCUGGGCUGGUGCAACAAUUCUUGGUAAUAUAUUGUUGUAGGUGAAGGCGCUAUGAUUGCUGUUGGUUCUCUUGUGCUAAAAGAUGUACCUCCUCACAGAUUGAAGCAACAAGCGGGAUUUGAUAUUCGCAUUUCAAGAACAUGUAGUUGGAGCUUUUCACUAUUCUUUUUCUUAACUUUCUAACAUUUGGAAUUCAAAUAAAUUUUCUAUUGCAUUGAUUUCUAUUAGAACAUAAAAAAUUAUUUUGUUGCAUUUUGUCAUUGUUAUAGAUCAUGAUUGUACCAUCUUAUAGUUUUGUUACAAAUAUUUUUACUGUUUUGUUAUAGACUUUUCUAUUACAAUUUAGUAAUGUGACUCUCAUUUUUUUCGGAUUUUAUAGAUUUGUUGGUUUUACAAUUAAUAUCAAAUGAAAAAGACGUAUUGUAAUUUGUUGAUAUUAGUAUUUUUUUUUCAUUUUAGUUUUAAAUUGCCAACGGUCAAAAACUGUCGGUACAUAUACUUUACGCCAGUGUUUUUUUAGUAGUUUUAGCGACAGUUUAAAAAAUGUUGCUAGAGAUUAUCUUAUGGUUAAUAAAAAUGCUGGGAAAGGAUAAUACCAGCAAGGAUAUAGUAAUGGUCACUUACACUUUUACCAGUACUUUUAGAACUGCUGGAGCAAAUAUUACCAGCGGUCUUUGUAAUCUUUUCCAGCAGUUUUGACUGCUGGUGUACAUCUAUAUUGUUGUAGUGGCGGCACAAUAAGGUGUUCGAUCUCUGUUUUGCAACGGCAUGCUGGGAACUGUGGAAGGAGCGAAAUAGGCGCAUAUUCGAUGCCCGCUCUACCGGUGCCGACGAAACUGUACGAACAGUUUUGAGCCUCAUCAAUCUGUGGCGAGCUGCGUUACAAGCCUGACGGUUCUGACUGAGGCGUUUUUGAUUGUCGCUUUCGACUCUUUUCUUUAUCCUUUGUUUUGUUGUGCUGUACCUUUCUGUACCUUUGUGUUUUGUCCAACUUUGUCGCUUCUACGUUCGCUUUAUACCAGGGCAAUAGCUGUCUCUGUACUGACGCAGUUGUAACCUUCCCUCCUCUUUAUAAAUAGAGUAUAUCCCUGUUUCCUCAAAAAAAUAAUAAUAAUAAUAUGAGACCAGGCUGCAAGGGCGGUCUCAAGUAGGAUUGGAUAUGGAGCACAGGUUGCCUCUUAUGGACUUGACACAUUAAGUCUCUGGUGACAUCAUGUAAAUAAUGUAAGCAUAGACUUAGUAAGUUGUAUCGAUCGUAUAGUGACCAAGUUGGACACGUAAUUGACAAGCCGAUGGUGCAGUCCUCAAAGAUGGGGUAAUGUAAGGUGAUAACACUUGAUGCAUAGUUUGAUAAGUUGAACCUAGAGAAGUACCCUGUAUUUUCUUGUUGAGGCAUAAAGUGUAGUGUAUUCUAUUACUUGAAUAA